CCUUGCUCUUUGUUGUAGCUCUGGAGUCCAGCUGAUCCUGAGCUACUGGAGGCCUCAAGAUGUAUA
ensembl:misc_RNA